UAUUUAGAUUUUAAAUAAAAAUUUUUAUAUAAAUAAUUUAUUUUAAUUGAGAAUUAAUUUAAUAAUUAAUUAAGUUUGUUUAAGAAUUUAAUUGUUGAAGUAAAAAUUUUAAAAAUAAUUUUUUUGAAUAAUAAAGUGAGUAAUGAAAAUGAAAUUUUAAAAAAAUAAGAAAGUAAAUUUAAUUAAUUAUACCUUUUGUAUCAGGGGUAAUUAAUAAUAAUAUUUAAAUAUAAAUAUAUCUCGAAUUUAAAAGAUUUAAUUAAAAAUUUUAAGUUACUGUUAAAUUAUUAUUAUUAAUUUUUAAUUGGAAAUGAAAUGUUAAUCGAUUUUAAAUAUAUCUAGUUUUUUUAGAAUUGAAUUUAAUUCAGCUUUAAAAAUUGAAUUUAUUUUUAUUUGGAUAAAAAUUAAAUUUUUAUUUUAAAGUAAUUAUAUUCGGGAUAAAUUGAGUAUAAUAAUUAUAAAUUUUUGUAAUUUAAUUUUAUAAGUGGUAAUAAAAUUAUAUUUCUUUAAAAAAAAUGUUAAAAUUUAUAUUAAAAAAAAUUGUUGUUUAAAAUUUAUUGUUAAAUUUUAAUUAUUUAUAAAAAAAUUAAUGAUUAAUUAUAAUUUAUAAAUUAUAAUGAUUAUAUUAGUAAUAAGAAUUUGUUUAAUUAGUUAAAAAUUUAUUAAGUUAAUUUAAGGAAUUUGGCAAAUAAUAAUUUAUAAAGUAAUUUAUGUAUAUUUACCUGUUUAUCAAAAACAUGUCUUGUUGAAAUUUGAAUAAUAAGUCAAUUCUGCCCAUUGAAAAAAAUUAAAAGGCUGCAGUAUAUUGACUGUACAAAGGUAGCAAAAUCAAUAGUUUUUUAAUUGAAAACUUGAAUGAAAGAAUUCAUAAAAUAUAAGCUGUCUCAAAUUAAUAUAAAUGAAUUUAAAUUUAAAGUUAAAAUGCUUUAAUAAAUUUAUUAGACGAUAAGACCCUAAGAAUUUAAUAAUAUUUUUUAUUAAUUUAAUAAUGUAAAUUUAAUUUAUAUAAAAAAUAUUAGUUUAUUGGGAGGGUAAUUAAAAAUAUUAAACUUUAAUUUUUAAAAGAACAUAGAUAAUUGAAUUUUUAAAGAUAAUUAUUAUAAUUAUGAGAAUUAAUUACCUUAGGGAUAACAGCGUAAUAAUUUUGGAAAGUUCAUAUUGAUAAAAUUGAUUGCGACCUCGAUGUUGAAUUAAAAUAAAAAUUAAGUGUAGAAGCUUAAAAUUUUAGUCUGUUCGACUAUUAAAAUUUUACAUGAUUUGAGUUCAGAUCGGUGUGAGCCAGAUCGGAUUUUAUCUAUAAUUAAAGAUUAUUUUAUUGUACGAAAGGACUUAAAAUAAGAAAUAUUUUUUGAAUAAAUUGAAUUUAAUUAAUUAUUUAAAUAUUAUUUAAUUUUUUAA
rnacentral:rRNA from 1 species